UGCUCCGCUCAGGGCCCGCUGCAGGCAGGUGAAAGCCUCCUGGCACUUUUCAGUCCAAACGAAGUCCGUGUCCUUCUGCAGGAGCUGGAACAGGGGCGCAGCUAUGCAGGCAAAACCCCGCACAAACUUUCUGUAGUAUGAGGCUAAGCCCAGGAAGCUCUUCAGCUGCUUCUGAUCAGCGGGGGUGGGCCACCCCAACACGGCCUGCACCUUUUCUUCCAGGGUGCCAAUGCCUCCCCCCCCCACUCUGUGUCCCAGAAACUGCACCUCCCGCUGCAUGAAGUGGCAUUUGUCUGGAUGCAGCUUGAGGCCAGCUCCUCGGAUUCGGCUCAGCACCAGCUGCAGGGACCCCAGGGCAGCAUCAAAGGAGCCACCAUGAACCAGGAUGUCAUCGAGGUAGACCAGACACUGCUGACGUGGUACUCCAGCCAGCACCUUGUCCAUCAGCCUGGCGAAGGUGGCAGGUGCGUUGCACAGUCCAAAACAGAGCACCUUAAACUGCCACAAGCCCCGCCCCGUGCAGAAGGCUGUCUUAGGCCUGGACUCCGGUGAAAGUGGCACUUGGUAAUAUCCACUGCGGAGAUCCAAGGACGAGAACCAGGAGGACCCCGAGACCAAGUCCAGAGACUCGUCAAUGCGAGGGAGGGGGUAGGAAUCCUUCCUGGUUACUCCAUUCACCGGUCUGUAAUCCGAGCAGAGGCGCCACCCCACCACUUUCUUUGGCAUCCUGACGACAGCUGCUGCCCACGGACUGUCUGAAGGCUCAAUGAGAUCUGCCUGCAGCAUCUUCUCCACGGCCUCGUCACAAGCCUGCUGCCGUGCCAGAGGAAGACGCCGUGGGCGGCACUUGAUGGGUUGCGCCUCCCCGGUGUCGAUUUCAUGUUGCAGGAGGUGGGUUCUCCCCACUUCCUCAUCACUAAGGGCAAAACAGUCUCUGAACUGCAGCAGCACCUGCCACAGCUGUUCCCGCUGUUGCGUGUCCAGGCCGCUACAGUUCUUUUCCCAGAUCUGGUUCACCACCGCUAACACCCUCUCUUCCUCUCGGCUGAGGGACGCGGGUGGUGGGGCCGAGAGAAGAUCCCUGCUGAGGCUGGUGUCAGGAUCUACCAACUGUGGAGGAGGGAGGCCAGACAAAAGUCCCGGUGCAGGAGGGGCCGCCACCGUCUCCGCUGUGUUGGUUGUUGGACCAGUGGGGGGUGAAUGGGGCAGGAAACGAGGAAACAGUGUGAUUGACGGGCCCCCUAGAAAGCUCACAGUCCCUCUCAGGAAAUCCAGUUGGCAGCCCGUCGCUCUCAUGAAGUCCAGGCCCAGGAUACACGGGUCUUGGACGGCAGCCACCCAGACAGGGUGACGGAGUGUCUUCUCUCCUACCGUCACCAGCAGCAGUCCUCUGCCCCUCAUGGGAGCCAGCUCCCCUGUAACUGUGCGUAACUGCACCAAGGUGGGUUCCAGCUGGGUUCCCUCUGGAAGCACAUCUGGCCUCACCACAGUCACUGUUGAGCCUGUAUCCACUAGCGCUGGACAGGGCACCCCCUCCACCAAUACAGUAAUGUAGCAGGCGUCUCCUGACGAUGCCCGCCCCACUGCGACCACUGGCUCCCAUCCCAAAUAAUCUGAGCCAA
rnacentral:lncRNA from 1 species